UUGACUGGCAACCCGCCACGCUGCUGUGUUAGCUCUGGAGGGGCCUGCGGGGCAGCAGAGCCCUGAGGAGCUGGGAAUGGUGGUUUUGGCAUUAGCAUGCUAGGUGAGCACAAAAUGUCAGUGCAUUGGAACCAGCAUUAUCACACUGUGAUUCACCUGAUCAGUUGUGUUUAGAGGGGGAAGACCAGCUUACUUUAGGAGCAGUGUAGUACCAAAGAAGAAGAGCCAAGAGAAACCAUAUAUAAGGAUCAGCUGCCUUACUGCUUUUAUAUUUGCCAGAGAGCCCUGGAGGAGGAAGAGAUCAAAUUCUCAAGUUGGCUCAAGAUGCGAUGCAUGAGGAGUUGCCUUUUGGAUCUGGUACUGGGAGAAGAGGAGGUGAGCUGUCUGGUAGAUGGAGGAGUAGGAAGAUUGGUGGUGGUGAGGGUCAGGUGCUGUUGAAUGGGAAGUUGCCC